rnacentral:rRNA from 1 species
GACGAACGCUGGCGGCAGGCCUAACACAUGCAAGUCGAGCGCCCCAGCAAUGGGGAGCGGCAGACGGGUGAGUAACGCGUGGGUAUCUACCUAGUGGUGCGGAAUAGCCCAGGGAAACUUGGAGUAAUACCGCAUAAGCCCGAAAGGGGAAAGAUUUAUCGCCAUUAGAUGAGCCCGCGUUGGAUUAGCUAGUUGGUGGGGUAACGGCCCACCAAGGCGACGAUCCAUAGCUGGUCUGAGAGGAUGAUCAGCCACACUGGGACUGAGACACGGCCCAGACUCCUACGGGAGGCAGCAGUGGGGAAUAUUGGACAAUGGGCGCAAGCCUGAUCCAGCCAUGCCGCGUGAGUGACGAAGGUCUUCGGAUUGUAAAGCUCUUUUGGCGGGGACGAUAAUGACGGUACCCGCAGAAUAAGCCCCCGGCUAACUUCGUGCCAGCAGCCGCGGUAAU